rnacentral:lncRNA from 1 species
UCUCUCUACUUGAUCCAUGGACCCCAAUAUAAACUCAAAAUUAUUUUUCUAAACAAGCCCAGCAUCACUUCGAUAUUCAUACAAGAUGUCGAAUCCCAUCCUGACCAUGUCAAAUAUCUUUAAAAUUCUUAAUUGAUGAAUCAUGUUGAUUGAUGUUAGCCUUAAUUUCAGUCCAUACUUCAUGAUUUCCUGAUUGAGUCAUCUAGAUUUGAUCCUUGUCUAGAAAAUCUUGAAUUAUCCCAACAUCCAAACUGCUUGUCGAAUUGACCACCC